rnacentral:rRNA from 1 species
AACGAACGCUGGCGGCAUGCCUAACACAUGCAAGUCGAACGAGACCUUCGGGUCUAGUGGCGCACGGGUGCGUAACGCGUGGGAACCUGCCCUUAGGUUCGGAAUAACUCCCCGAAAGGGGUGCUAAUACCGGAUAAUGUCUUCGGACCAAAGAUUUAUCGCCUUUGGAUGGGCCCGCGUUGGAUUAGCUAGUUGGUAGGGUAAAAGCCUACCAAGGCGACGAUCCAUAGCUGGUCUGAGAGGAUGAUCAGCCACACUGGGACUGAGACACGGCCCAGACUCCUACGGGAAGUAGCAGUGGGGAAUAUUGGACAAUGGGCGAAAGCCUGAUCCAGCAAUGCCGCGUGAGUGAUGAAGGCCUUAGGGUUGUAAAGCUCUUUUACCCGGGAUGAUAAUGACAGUACCGGGAGAAUAAGCUCCGGCUAACUCCGUG